CAACGCCGCGUGAAGGAUGAAAGGUUUUCGGAUUGUAAACUUCUUUGAUUGGGGACGAAUAAUGACGGUACCCAAAAAACAAGCCACGGCUAACUACGUGC
rnacentral:rRNA from 1 species